rnacentral:rRNA from 1 species
AUAAGCCGUAGGGAAACGUGGGUCUAAUACCGGAUAGGAGCCAUUUUUAGUGUGAUGGUUGGAAAGUUUUUCGGUGUAGGAUGAGCUCGCGGCCUAUCAGCUUGUUGGUGGGGUAAUGGCCUACCAAGGCGGCGACGGGUAGCCGGCCUGAGAGGGUGGACGGCCACAUUGGGGCUGAGAUACGGCCCAG